UACAGAGGUCUCAAGCGUUGUUCGGAUUCAUUGGGUGUAAAGGGUGUGUAGGUGGCGCUGUAAGUCGGGUGUGAAAUUUCGGAGCUUAACUCCGAAACUGCAUUCGAUACUGCGGUGCUUGAGGACUGGAGAGGAGACUGGAAUUCAUGGUGUAGCAGUGAAAUGCGUAGAGAUCAUGAGGAAGACCAGUGGCGAAGGCGGGUCUCUGGACAGUUCCUGACACUGAGACACGAAGGCCAGGGGAGCAAACGGG
rnacentral:rRNA from 1 species